rnacentral:rRNA from 1 species
GACGGAAGGUGCAAGCGUUGCUCGGAAUCACUGGGCGUAAAGGGUGCGUAGGCGGCCGUGCAAGUCUGGCGUGAAAGCCCCGGGCUCAGCCCGGGAAGUGCGCUCGAAACUGCGCGGCUCGAGUGCCGGAGGGGAGAGUGGAAUUCCUGGUGUAGCGGUGAAAUGCGUAGAUAUCAGGAGGAAUACCGGUGGCGAAGGCGGCCACCUGGACGAACACUGACGCUGAGGUGCGAAAGCGUGGGUAGCAAACAGG